AGCAGCCGCGGUAAUUCCAGCUCCAAUAGCGUAUAUUAAAGUUGUUGCAGUUAAAAAGCUCGUAGUUGAAUUUCGGGAUCAAAUUGUCGGUCGUGCCUCGGUACGCACUGGUAUUAUUGGUUCCUACCUUCUGAAGAACCGCGAUGUCAUUAAUUUGGUGUCGUGGGGAAUCAGGACUGUUACUUUGAAAAAAUUAGAGUGUUUAAAGCAGGCUUACGCUUGAAUACAUUAGCAUGGAAUAAUGAAAUAGGACGUUUGAUUCUAUUUUGUUGGUUUCUAGGAUUGACGUAAUGAUUAAUAGGGAUAGUUGGGGGCAUUAGUAUUCAAUUGUCAGAGGUGAAAUUCUUGGAUUUAUUGAAGACUAACUACUGCGAAAGCAUUUGCCAAGGAUGUUUUCAUUAAUCAAGAACGAAAGUUAGGGGAUCGAAGACGAUCAGAUACCGUCGUAGUCUUAACCAUAAACUAUGCCGACUAGGGAUCGGAUGAUGUAAUUUUUAAUGACUCAUUCGGCGCCUUACGG
rnacentral:rRNA from 1 species